UUCAGUUGUAACGUCGCCGUGUGUCAGCAGUCUAAUAUAAUAUAUAAUAGAAAUUUGUGGAUUUUGCUUGGAAUUCAGAUGGAUUUUUCGACAAGAGAAUUUUUUAUACAAGAUAGUUUUAAAUUUUUAUAAUUUUUUUGUUACAAGUUUCGUAUGCAAAACAUCUCCUCGAUACUCCGAAUUUGUGAAUGUCCUGAUUUAUUUCGACGCGUCAACAACGGAGCAGUCCUUUAAUCAGCUUCUUAUCGGCUCUUUUCAACGGCUUGGUCAACAAUGGGGUCGAUAUGGAUAAAUGAUAUUCCACGAAGAAUGUCACGAGACACUCACAUGCCCUUCGACGACUCGUAAUACUCGCGUUUUGGCCUUUUAACCGGAGUAAUACUCUCGAUCAGAAUGGCGACUGAGGCCGAACGUUGGAAGAGAAAAACUUGCAUUAAUCGACUACGUAAAUUAGCAUCGAGGCGUGUGCCCAUCUUAGCAUGGCUGCCGAAAUAUGAUUCGGAAAAGUUCUUUAGCGACUUCAUAGCCGGUGUCACGGUUGGUCUCACAGUCAUGCCUCAGGGACUCGCAUACGCGACAUUGGCUGGUUUGGAGCCUCAGUAUGGCCUUUACUCGGCGGUCGUAGGAGCAAUCAUUUACGUGAUAUUCGGCUCCUGUAAAGAUAUUGCAAUUGGCCCUACCGCGCUUAUGGCAUUAAUGACUCACGAUUAUGUGCAAGGGAAAAACGCAGAUUUCGCUAUACUUCUUGCAUUUUUAUCUGGCUGCCUGCAGUUACUAAUGACAUGCUUACAUUUAGGUGUACUCGUAGACUUCAUCUCGGUGCCAGUAACCGUGGGUUUUACAUCCGCAACAUCUGUUAUAAUCGUCGCUUCGCAAUUGAAAGGUCUGUUGGGCUUGAGAAUUUCAGCGCAAGGAUUUUUGGAUACCCUGACAAAAGUUGUUCAGAAUAUUAAUGACACGAAUCCAUGGGACGCUGGAAUGAGUUUCUCUUGUAUUGUGAUUCUAUUACUAUUUAGGAAAAUGAAGGAUAUCAAAUUAAAUAACGUUAGCAAAAGGUCAAAGAAGAUCUUCACGAAAACGAUAUGGCUGAUCUCCACAGCGCGAAACGCCAUUGUCGUUAUCAUUUGCUCCGUUAUUGCGUACAAGUACGAUUCGUCCGAAUCCGGAUCUCCGUUUAUUCUAACGGGUCCGGUGAGAUCUGGUCUUCCACCAUUUGGCUUUCCACCAUUCUCCACGCGAGUAAACAAUCAAACCUUUACCUUCACGCAAAUGUGUUCCGAAUUGAAUACCGCCAUAGUAUUAGUACCGAUAAUAGGUGUACUUGGUAACGUGGCCAUAGCUAAAGCUUUUGUGAACGAUGGUAAGGUCGACGCUACUCAAGAGCUUCUGACACUUGGGAUUUGUAACGUUCUUGGAUCUUGCGCGAGUUCCAUGCCAGUUACAGGAUCGUUCAGUAGAUCGGCGGUGAAUCACGCCAGCGGAGUGAAGACGCCAAUGGGUGGAUUGUAUACCGGGAUUCUGAUUUUGCUGGCUCUCAGUAUGCUCACGCCGUAUUUUUAUUUUAUUCCAAAAGCUUCGUUAUCAGCUGUCAUCAUUUGCGCAGUAAUAUAUAUGAUCGAAUACGAAGUUGUAAAACUGAUAUGGAAAUCGAGCAAAAAGGAUCUUAUACCGAUGUUCGUCACCUUUCUGUUUUGCCUCAUCAUCGGUGUGGAAUACGGUAUUUUGUUGGGCGUCGGUAUAAAUUUGAUGUUUUUAUUAUAUCCCUCUGCAAGACCUACAGUCCACAUCGACAAGUGUACAACUGAUUCUGGCGCAGAUUACUUGCUGGUUACUCCAGGAAAUAGUUUGUAUUUCCCAGCGGUCGAUUUUAUAAAGCAGUCGGUGGGUAAUGCUGCUAUAAAGCAAGGAUCUAGUCAAGUGCCAGUUGUUGUCGAUUGUAGAUAUAUUUUAGGCGCAGAUUUUACGGCUGCUAAGGGCAUCAAAACAUUGAUUAAUGAAUUUAGUAGUCGUAAACAGGCCCUGUACUUUUAUAAUCCAAGAUCUGACGUUGUUACUGUUCUAAAAGGCGCUUGCGGUGACGAAUUUCAAUACGUUUCGACUCAGGAAGAGCUCUCUUACUUGUUAUCUACAACUCUAGAAUGAGGAAGAGUAGGAAAUCAAGGAAAAUAUUUUAGAGCGUAAAAGAUUUUAAAAUCAACACAAAUAUGCGCAACAAACGCAUGACAAGAUAUUUGCGCCUCUAGCAUUAAAUAAUUCAGAAAUGGUUCAUAGAAAUACGCGUGGUUCCUGUCAUGAGCUCAGUGAGGUGACAAGCACACUAUUGCAUGCUACUGCGAGCUGAAAUUAAAUCUUAUUUAAUACUAAUGCAGAAUAAAAGUUUUUA
rnacentral:misc_RNA from 1 species